rnacentral:rRNA from 1 species
AANNCAACAGGGAUUGCCUUAGUAGCGGCGAGUGAAGCGGCAAUAGCUCAAAUUUGAAAUCUGCCAACAGGCCGAGUUGUAAUUUGAAGAAAGCAAUUCUGGAUGUGUCUUUGCUCAAGUUCCUUGGAAUAGGACAUCAUGGAGGGUGAGAAUCCCGUGAUGCGAAGGUAGCACGUCUAUGUAGAAUGUUUUCGACGAGUCGAGUUGUUUGGGAAUGCAGCUCAAAGUGGGUGGUAAAUUCCAUCUAAAGCUAAAUAUUGGCGAGAGACCGAUAGCGAACAAGUACUGUGAAGGAAAGAUGAAAAGAACUUUGAAAAGAGAGUGAAAAAGUACGUGAAAUUGUUGAAAUGGAAGGGCUUGAGAUUAGACAUGGUGUUUAGUGUUCCACUUUCUUUCGGGAAUGUGUACUCGCUUUACACCGGGCCAGCAUCAGUUUUGAUGGGAGGAUAAAUGGUAUUGAAUGUGGCUGCUUGCAGUGUUAUAGCUUUAUCAAAUACUUCCAAUCGGGACUGAGGACCGCGCAUUUGCUAGGAUGCUGGCGUAAUGAUCUUAAGCCAC